UUUAAAAGAGAUCAGGAGCACUAGCCUAACUCCUUCCUUCUCCGCUCACCUGCCGGAACGUCCUUUUCCGGUGAGAGCAAGGCUCACCACAACCACCGUCCACUUUCCAUUUUCCCAUUCUCAAAUUCUCAAAUCCAGCAUCUCUCUCUCAUGUUAUUCAUGUGAAGACUAAUGGAAAUCUCAAAAUUCAACACCCUCAAAUUAUAGAGACAAACGCACAUACUUUCAUGGGAAAGGACGGACUAAAAGUCAUUGGAGGCUACUGUGCGUGAUUCCAAUCAGAAUAUUAUGGCUGCAAAAUUAAUUAAUUUCGAUUUUGAAUUAUUCCAUUACAAAACUGAAGGUGUGUUUAUCGUGACCUAUUAGUAAAUGGCAGAAUUGUUUCACCCAUAUUGAUGUGGAUAGAAGCAUUUGAGUUGAUCCUUCAUAGACUAAACAAAAAUCAUCAAAAUUGGAUUUUGGUAAGAUUGCGGCUGUUUCAGGUAGUGGACAACAACAGUGAGAGGACGAGAGUAAGAGGGAGGGCGAAUUUCAGUCUAAAAAUCGAGUGAAUAGUAGCUUCGAUUUGGGUUUCGAACUUUUCGGUGUCGAUUCGAGGUCCGCUCAGAGUGUCGUACGAGGAUCCGGUCCAAAUUCAUCUAUCUGACUCGGUUUUGUGGUUAACAAUAUCCAUCGAGUGCAUGAGCAUGAAUACCCGAAAACAUAGAAAAGAAGU